CUCCGCUGCUCCCGCCCCCGCGCAGCCCCCCCCUUCCCGGCCCCGGGCCCGUCCGGGCUCCGGCUUCCGAGUUGCGACUCCAGCCCCAGCCCCAGCCUGCGAGGGCGCGUGCGCGCGGCGGCGGCGUGGGCUCGCAAGGCUCUUCCUCCCUCCCUCCCGCGCCGGGCACUUCCGGGCCGGCCCGGAUCCGUCGCCGGGUUUUGGAAGCCACCGCCGUUCCCUGCGCCAGGCGCUGGGCUCUCAGCAGGGCGCGUCCACCGGCCGCUGUGGAGAGGAUGAGUUACCUCGCCUGGCGGGGAUCUCCCACGACCCAGCCUUAAACUUUCCUUACCUAAAAAGCCCACUGAUAACGCCUCUUAAAUCGAGAGACGUAGGGUGCGAAAGGAGGCCAACUGUUUCUCCGUACGAUUUCCUUGAGGUUGUAGCAGACUAGAAAGCCAAUAUGCAACUUUUACUGAACCCUUGUUGCGAGCCCGUAACUAUGUGAAGGGCUAGAACAAAAACAGCAGUGUACGUCUCCAGCUAGAAAUACAGACAACUCCGGGUAGGCAAAUGAAGUGCCACAGUGAAACGGUUUUCGGUUAGAGAAGAUGAGCCUCAAAAGGAAGUCUCAGGCCUAGGAAGGGAGGGGGUCCGCCGAGAGGCAGCCGAGGUUGCUUGCAAAGCACUGAACAGGUGGCAUGACUGACGUGGGUAAAUUAUGCUGUAUCUAAGCAAAUGUCUGAAGAGAUGAGGAGACUGCCUUAUGGAGUUUAAAGAAAGGUGAAAACAGAACGUCAUUCAGCAUUCGUGAGAGAAAACUUGUAGCUGCCAAGAAUAUUCUCCUUUAAAGAAGUUUGAGGGACCAAAACAGGCACGAAUAACAUUGAAGGACCCCCGCCCCCAUUCCUUUCACUUUAACAGCGCAUCAGUGAACUGUUUACCUCCUUUCCCCCAAAAAAAGAGAGGUGGAAGAAAAACAUUAUUUUGAGCACUGUAAUCAAAGACCUGUACGAUCUUUUUAAAUCCUCUCAACUUCAUUGCAGUUCCAAGGUGGAGAUUAUUCCCACCUUACAGAUAAAGCAACUGAGGAUCAGAAGUAAUAAGUAACUCAUUCAAGGGUGAGUGGAGUUUGAAUACUGGGAAAGCAGAUUUCCCUCGCUUCAAAUUAAUACUACUUUAACUACCUUAUUCAACGUAUUUAACACCCAAAACGUGUGGGAUACAACCAGCAUCAAAGAUUUUCAGAAAAAAAGCCUGGCCACUUUUUAGGAAUUGAACACCUGCAGUAGUGUCCUCUCCUUCAUGUACCUCACAGUGUUUCAAUGCAGUUCACUUGCUGCGCCAGGACCCUGAUGAAUGUUUAUGGUUUGAGUGAAUUGGAGCCCACCAGCAUUGCCAAAACACCUGGAAGGGAUGUGCAUGGAAGAGAAGAGUGUUCUAUGUUAUACAUCUAUUUAAGAAUUUUUAUUACUAUUAUGAUCCUUACCUUAUGGAUAAGGAAACUGAGGCACAGAGAGUUUAAGAAACUUGACAAAGCUGCAAAGCUAGUUGGUGGCAAAGCCAGGAUAUGGACCAAGACAGGCUGGAUCCAGAGCAUAUGCUAUUCUACCGUGUUGCAUUUUCACUAAAUUCAAGGUAAAUGUUUGAAAUCUGGGGCAUGGUCAAACUCUUCUUUUCCAGGAGAGUUUUUGUAUGAUCAGAUAAGGUCAUUGUAUUCAUCCAUUUGUUAAAUGUAGCAACAAGAUUAUAAUUUUUUUUUGAACAUGGAUAUGUUCCGAAUAUAGGUAUAAUUUGAGUGCUAGAACUGUCUCAUCCUCUUACUAGCUGUGUGAAUAUGGGUAUACUCAGAUUCAUCACUUGAAACAAAGGAACAUUACCACUUGCUUGACAUGCCUUGCAAAUUAUUGGGAGAAAAAGAGCUGGGAAGUGUGAAUUCAGGACGCAUUAAGAACAUUUGCACCAUGAAAAUGAAGCAAAUUGAAACCAACACCAGCUUCUCACAACCUUUUGCCAUCUCAUUUUCCUGGUUUUGUCCUGUCUAAUUUAGAUCAUAAACCCUCCAGUCAGAAACCAUCACCUCUUUAUACAGAGUACAAUGACUGGUGUCACUAUUUAAUAAAAACACAAGAAGCAGCUGCAAAGGUUUGAAAUUAAAUCUACAAACGUAAGGUGAAAGUUAUAUUGAGUUCCAACUGUAGGUCAUUAUGGCAAAAUUAAGAUAAGGACAUGGAUUUGUUUUCUUAAUUUUCCUAAAACUGGUGUAAUGUAGCAAUUAAGAGAAUGUGGUCCAGAGUCAGGUUUCCUAUGUUACAAUUCUAACUUGGCCGCUUACUAAUUAUAUAAUGUUUUGAACACACUAUAUUUUAUAGAUUCCAUGAAAUACAAUAUUUUACAUUUUCACAUCUCAGAAAUUGAGAUUAUUUAUACAAGGAACAGUAUUUUAUGAUUACCAUUGCCCACAUAGCAGCUAAGAUACAGCUGGCAUUGCCUGAGCAUUUGCACACACACACACACACACACACACACACACACACACACACACAUGCACACACACACGCGCGCACACACACACACACACACACACAUAUUUGGCCAUUGCUGUUCACGUUGUCGUGAGUUUACCUGAGUUAUAGGCAUUGGUGUUAAUGCACAUGCUGAGGUAAUUUGCUAUUUAAACUGUCUUGAGAAAAAUUACACAGUGCAUUUGGCUUUAAGAUAAAAAGUUAUUGUAUAUGCAGAAACAAAGCAGUGGGGCUUAAAUUUGUUAUUUGUGAAGCAACAAUUCAUCACUGGAAGAAUGACUGUUAUGCCAGGUUUUCUUGCAAAGAAAAAAGAAGGGGGCUUUAUGAUAUCCAAGAAAGGAAAAUACCCUCAGGUAGCUGAAACUGUGUUCCUUUUGUUACUGAGGUGCAGCAAAAGGAUUGCUUAUCACACACCAAGUCAUGCAACCAAAAAGCAGGAGAAAUCCCAAAUCCCUUGGUAUAUGGAGAAAAAAAUUGCAAGGCAGCGAGAGGCUGGUGUGACAGAAGAGCACUUUCAACAAGUAUAAAAUAAAAAUCUGAAGUGGCAAGAAAAUAUUAUAUCACAGUUUGGCAGCAUUUCCCCCCUUUUUAUUUGUAUAUUUAAAAAAUCAUAUAAUGUGCUCAUGGCUUCCUUGAAAUGUGAAAUACAGAAUACCUCAUUAGCUGUGUGAGAAUUAAAUGAAAUAACAUAGGUGAAGUGUUAUUGGUGUGCUUGACACAUAGUAAGUGUAUAAUACAUGUUGGCCAUUAUUAUCAUCAUCAAAUUACAAAGGCCUUUCAUUUUCGUAUCUGCUCUCUAAUAGAUUAAUGGGGAUUAGAAACAAUUCAAGUGGGAUAUGUUUCAUUUGAAAAUAAAAUGUGGUUUUGUGAUCUCAGGGAGAGCUGGGGAAAGUUUAAUAGGCAAUAUCAGGUGUUUCACAAGUGGGAGGGAUGAGUGAAGUGAGAACUUUUCACAGUGUGGCCAACAUGGGAUGACUUUUCCUGUCAUGGACUGGAAGUUAUAUGGUACUACCCUAAGAAAUUGCUUCCUGGCAACAUGAUAGAUACAGCUUCAGCCGUAUUUCCUUAACCAACAAAAUCGCAGACAUUUCUAUGUACCACUUUGGUGUUUUAUUCGAAAGUGUAGUGUUAAUUUCAGUGUACCACUUCACACACACACACACAAAAAUUCAUGGCUUUAGAAAUUGUGAUUUUAGCAGCUAUUUGGAGCUGCAAGUACAUUUAAGGAUUUUAUUGAAAAGUUCUCAAGUAAACAAAUGUGGGCCUCGGCUCAGUGAAUUUACACAAUGUUCAAGUACACAGAUGAAUUCAACCUCUGAAUUUUAAUUUUCAUCUAACUUGAGCUGUUGCAUUCCUCAAAACAUAAAAGGAAGAAUUUAUAAAGUCAUGAGUGACGCUAAUUGGGAUGUGAUUUUUUUUCAGAAUCCAUUUCCUGGUUAGAAAGUCAACAUUUUGAGAUACUUUCCCAAAAUAUCUUUCAGAUUGUGUUCACGAGUCUCUAUUAAAAGUUAAUUCUUUUUUUCUUUAACAAAUUAACUUUUGAAGUCUGAAAUAUCUACUUGAAUAUAUUUGAUUUUUAUUUAUCAAGAUAACUAAAGUAAAGGCAUGUCAUACACCACUCCUCUUUCGCUCACUACAUUUUUUAAGUUCAUGUUUGUGAAGGACAAGCAAAGCUUGUGUGUAUUUGAUUUUUGUCACUUUUGUUAUUUCAAGAGUACAAAGAUGAUAACACAAGAUAUUUGAGACCUUAGGAUUGAAAAUCUCUCUUAAGGCCAGAGGAAUUAUGGAAAUUUCAGUGCACAAACAAUUCUGGGCUUAUUCAUUUGGCCAAAUUAGUUUGUCUUGUUUUUGCAUUACAAUUUUGAUUGCUGCACUCCAGUGUCUUUUCUGUCCCUGAAAACUAUCUAGAAAUAUUUGGCUAUUAUCAUAAUAAUUGUGUCACGAGACAGUUGUUCUAGUAAUAAAGUUAACCAGUCAUGAUAGAGUGCCUCUGGACAAGUGGACUUGUGUGUGUGUGUGUGUGUGUGUGUGUGUGUGUGUGUGAUUGCAAGUUAACUUGGUGUGUUUACUUAUUAGUCUUAACAAAGUUAUCCUUUUAAAAAGUGGGGAGGAAAGGGGGCGCCUGGGUGGCUCAGUCAGUUAAGGGUCUGACUCUUGAUUUUGGCUCAGGUCAUGAUCUCACGGUUCAUGAGAUCGAGCCCCCAUCAGGCUUGAUCAGCGUGGAGCCUGCUUGGGAUUCUCUCUCCAUCUCUCUGUCCCUCCCAUCUCUCAAAAUAAAUAAAUAAACUAAAAAAAGAAAAAGUGUGGAGGGAAGAAAAAUGCUGUCCUGGGACUUUGUUGACUUAAAUUUGUCCCUCAAUGUCCAAUUAAGGAAUGUCUUUUCAGUAUAAACUACUUAAAAACAAUCUUCCAUUUUUCACAUUUGGCUUCUUUUCCCUUAAAGGUCAGGUAGAUAAACAAGGAAUGGAUAUAACUGCUAAAUGUGGUUCAGUUCUUGACAUUGGUACUGAGGGUCUAUCAAAAUGGAAAAAAAACUUUUUUUUUCUUCAUUUUAUACCUUCUAUUAAUUUUGUUUAAGAAAAAAAAGUUGGGACAAAACUCUAAUCAGUGAUGGUAGAACUUUCUCCAAAAUGUUGUCUUUCAUUUAUUAUUAUCUAAUAUUGUAGCAGGAUUCUUGCACAGAGUCGUGACACCGAGGCUUUUCUUUCCAGGAAGCAACUUUAUUCCUGCAAGCACCACUCAGUUGGGUUCGAACCUGAAGAACUGAGCCCCGAACACCAUUUAGCAUAGUUUUUUUAUAUAUUUUUUACUCUUUGUCUCCCAUAUAUGGUAACACACAAACAUAGUCUGAUUAAGUGGUCUCAUGUUACAAGGUCAGGAGUGAUGUUGUCAAGUAAGCAAAUAGUAAGGUUGCCUUGAGGUGGUUUUUUUUUUUCUUUCUUUCCUUAGGGAGGGGACCCUACCACAUUGUGAAGUAGUUUGACUAGUGCUAGAUAAAUUACACAAUGGAAGAGAAUUUUAAGAAAACAAGUGUUUUAUUGUCUCGUUCUAUUUGAUGGUCUACUCUAUUUUUGGAAGUUCCUUUUAAGCUCUGGGAUUGUAAAACAAUUACCUUUCAAACCACUGAAGUGCAACUUGAAUAUGGUUAACACUUCAUCUGGCUUCCAGGGUGUAAAUUAGCCUUGUCUACAGGCCAUCAGGAAAAUUUAAUAUUCUUUAUUUGUGAAUCAUCAACAUUCUAAAAUUUGACUAAGUAUUAUAAAAGAUAAGCAAUGUAAUAAGAAUUCUUGAAUGCAAUUAGGAAGCAAGGCAUUAUUUCAAUAAUUUUAUUGCAAUGUGCAAUACACUUUUCCCUGAUCCCUGAGUUGAUUAGUUUAUGCAUUAAUUCCUUUUCAGAAGGACCCCUAACAAUGUAAGGAAUCAGUACCCACCCACUUGCUGUCACUUCAAAUGUACACAUAUUUAUAGAAAGUCCAGGGACCCCAAAAUAUUCCUCCAUCAGUCCACAGGUCUUUUGGUGGAAAGGAGAAAGCAGUAGGCAUUAGGAACGGAGGUGUAGUCUCAGAGUCUGCCACAGGAAGGUCCCAUCAAGAUAAUUUUCUAGUGGGGUGCUUUAGCAAUGCACAGACUUGACAUAAGAAUAAAAAUAUGGCUAGCCUCUGUUAACUGAAAUGUAAAAACUUUUUCUUUGUCCUCUUUACCUUUUUCCUCUUUCUCUCUUUCCUCUAUUCUUUCUCUGUUGUCUCUUCCUACUUCUCGUCUCUUUUUCUAUCUUGGUCUUUUACUAUCCCUCCUUCCCCUAUCUUCUUUUUAUGCAUUCUCCCUUUGAAAGCAUAUUUACUCUAUGGCACAUCAAUAUACAUAUCAUUUCAGUUCUCUAUCUCCAGUCUUGAUCUCUUUAACCUACAAUCUGCCAUUCCCACCUGCCUGUUGGACACUUGCAGAUGUCAUUCUUUAAAUACUUGAGAUUCCUCUUGUUGUCUGUUGAACUUAUCUUCCCCUCAUUCCUCAAAACAGCUCUUGAUCUUCUCUUACCUAUUUCAAUAACGUUCUCACCAAUCUUUCAGUUACCUCAGCCUCUCACCUUGAUGUAAACCUUGCAUUUUCUUCCUAUAUCCAAUCAGGCAUGAGUCCUCCUGAUUCUUCUUUUGUUAUAUCCUUAAAUCUUCUUUUUAUUUUUAUUUCUAAUAUCAAGUAGUAGACCCUUUUCAUCAUUCACCUAAAUUGGUCUUCUCUUACUUCUUUUCUCUGGUCCUUACUUACCUAUCCUCCAAGUCAAGAGAGAGCUAUGAAAUCACAAGAUUCCUAACAUAGCACAAGGUUCAUUUCACCUGCUCAUCAAAAGUCUUAGAUGAGAGACAGGAAUAGGCCAGACACUCUGAGAGAUGAAAACAAAAUUGAGUAUGUAUAAUACUAGAUAUCAAUAUGUGUUGUAAAUGAUUUAUACUACAAGAUAUCAAAUGCAAUGCAGACAAUGUGGUACUUAUUCAGAAAAGAUAGACAAAUAGACUUGGUGGGGCACCUGGGUGUCUCAGUCAGUUGGGCGUCUGACUUCAGCUCAGGUCAUGAUCUCGUGGCCCAUAGGUUCAAGCCGCGCAUCAGCUGUGUGCUGAUAGUUCGGAGCCUGGAGCCUUCUUCAGAUUCUGUCUCCCCCCCUCUCUCUGCCCUUCCCCUGCUCACACUCUGUGUCUCUCUCUUUCAAAAAGAAAUAAACAUUAUUUUUUUUUUUAAAAAGAUAGACAAAUAGACUUGGAAUAGAUGAAAAAAUUGCAAAGCAGUAGGUCUGGUAUGACAAAAGAACUCUAAGUACAGACAUAAUAGACAGUCCAGAAAUUGACUCACACUAUGUAGUCCCUUGAUUAAUGAGAAACACAAUGCUGCAGUGUAGUUGGGAAGGAUAGCCUUUUCAAUAAGUGGUGCUGGAUCAAUCGAAUAUCCAUGUGGGAAAAAAAGGAAAUGUUGACCCCUUUCCCACAUUGUAAAAAAUCAGUUUUAAAUGGGGCAUAGAGCUGAAUGUGGAAGAUAAAAGAACCAAAGGGACACAUAUGAAAAAUUAAAUAAAAAGAAAAUUACUAAUAAACCAGAUUGUGUUAAAAUUAAGAAACAUAAAGAAGUAAAAAUGCACACCACAGAGUGGAAGAUGUUUGCAAUACAUCUAUCUGACAAUGGAGUAGUAUAGCAUAUUUGACAAAAUCCUACAAAAUAAUAAUAAUAAAAAAAGUAACCUAGUAGAAAAAUGGGCAAAAAACUUUAACAGGUAAUAAAAGAGCAUUUGUAAAUGGCCAAUAUACACGUGAAGAAAUGCUACAUUUUAUUAGAGGCUAAGGAACUGCAAACUAAAACCUCCAUGAAAUAUCACUACACACCAACCAGGAUGGCAAAACUCAAACAGUACCAGUACUGAGAGAUAUAUGGAACAGGUAUAACUUUUAUAAUUCUUGACAGAAAUGCAGACUUUAUAUAAUUGCUUUGAAAGACUGUUUGGUAGUUAUCAACUAAAGCUGAGUAUGGGCUUUGGUUGACCCAGCAAUUCCACUUGUAGAUAAAUAAAUACCCAAGAGAAAUGAGUAAAUAAGUGCAUUAAAGCAUAUUCAUAGCAGCACUAUUCAUAACAGUCUCAAAUUGGAAAGCUACCUCAAUGUCCAUCAAUAGUAGAAUAAUAAAUACAUUUUAUUAUGCUUGUUAAUAAAUGCACAUUCUACCAACAUUUUGGAAACCAGUGGCUUCCAUAAUACUCUUUCUUUGUACUUACUUUGCAUCUCCCUAAACUUCUCUGGAUGGUGGGUCCAGCAGAAUUCCAUGCUCUUGGGGCAUCCCCAACAUUAUAUGUAAAUAGGGCAGUAAGAAACAGUAAAGGCAGGGGCACCUGGGUUGCUCAGUCAGUUAAGCGUCUGACUUCGGCUCAGGUCAUGAUCUCAUGGUUCAUGUUUUCAAGCCCCGUGUCAGGCUCUGUGCUGACAGCUCAGAGCCUGCUUCAGACUCUGUUUCUCCCUCUCUCUCUGUCCCUCCCUGGCUUGCACUCUGUCUGUAUUAAAAAUGAAUAAACAUUAAAAAAAUUAAGAAAAAAAAGAAACAGUAAAGACAUUUUGUCAAGUUCCUUUGUUUACACACAUGAUCCAUUGUACCAGCAGACUUACCUUACAAAACACAAAUUCAAAGAUCAAAUCAUUAAGAUUUUCAAUAGCAGGGCAAUAAACUAAGCAUGGGCCCUUCUGAGUGAGGGGCAUUCCCAUGAACCCAGCCAUUCAUGUUAAUCAUCCUUCAAUAAAGGGUUUAUUAAAAGUAAAGUGAACAAAUAAAUAUUUUGUCUGGCUUCUUCACUGUUGAACAAAUAAAGGCAAAAUCCCUUAGGCUAAAACAGGGUUUUUAAAACUUUGGUUUAAACUCUAGCUUGCUCACCUUUCAUUUCCCUCUCUGCACACCAACUAAUUGUCCCUCAAUACUAACCCAUCUCCAAGCCUGAGAUUCAUCUUUCACCUCUUUCUCAACUCCUCACAGCAGGUUUGGUUGCCUCAGUCUCACAAAUGCAUCCACUUUCCAAUAGAGACUGAUCACUCUAAAAUAAGCCCCAUGGUACCCAGGUGCCUAAUCUAAUAAACCAGCCAAAUGCUGCAGAGCAAGAUGAAAGCCAAGGCCAAACACCCUAGGGCUCAGGGUGUGGGGAGCUUGCAUUCACCAUCCCUCCAUGAUUCCCUAUAGUCAUUCUCCAAAUAGUAGUCACUAUACCCUUUAUAAAAUGUCAAUGACUCCUGCUCAAUUUUGACAGCGACUUCCCACUCCAUGGAGACUGAAAUCCAGAUUUUUUACUCUGAACCAGGAGGUUCUGCCCACAUACCUGUCCAUCCUCAUCUCUUUCUUCUAUUCACUUACUUCACCCCAGCCUCCCUGACCCUCUUAGGACUGAUUCAUGGCUUAUAAAUUUGCCUAAUUUCUCCUGAUAGAAUGCACAUCUUUGCAUGGCUAUUAACCUUCCUGUUAGGAUACAGAUCAGCAGUCCCCUCCUUGAAGAAGACUUUGCCUACCACAAAAUAUAAAGUAGCUCUCUGUCACCAAUUCUGGUCAUUGUUAACAUAGUACCAAAUUUUUCCCUCCUAGAACUUACCUCCACCUGCAGUGAUUUGAUUGAUAAUUUGUUUACGUAUUUAAUGUUUAUGUCCUCUUUCUAGAGUAUAAGCUCUAGGCUGUCCUGCUCAUGGACAAGAACAAAAUUUGGCACAUGCACGUGCUUAAAAAUACUACAUCUCAUAACUUGCUUUUGGAAGGGCGAUUGAAAGCUCUCCUCAUUCUCUUGGUUAGUCUUGGCUUUAUUAUUAUUGUUAUUAUUAUUAUUUUCCCAUUGAUACUUCUCAGCCAAGUUUUUGUUUUGGUGAUGGGGGAUGGAUAGUAAGAGGCAUAUGAGACAGGGAACUAGAGCUUAUGGUUGGGGUUGGAGAGUGGGAAAAUGGAGAGGAGAUAUGUAUGUUCUGGAGAGAAUUUUUUUUUUUCUUUUUUUGGGGGAAAGACAAAAACUUAUU